UUCAGAGCAACACUACAACAACCUCCUCGACCGUCUGCGAGACAAUCUGCUGAAAUUGUAAAGACUUGAAGGUGUGAUCACUGUAACCAUGCUGAAGAUAGUAUUUGUGCUUGGAUGCCUUCUGAGCUUCGCUCUGGCUCAUCCUACGGAUAUGGAGCACAAACGACUUGCUCGUUCACGCUCUGGCUCACAUUCCAAUGAGCGUAUAUACUGGCCAGGUAUGGUGAAUAAUCCAUCUGUAGCGACUGUCCCACAGUGGUUCCAGGCCAUACUUGCCCUCCUCCAACAAACUACUACUGCAGCACCUGCUACUACUACUACUACUACAAAGUAAAAUCUGGAAUUUUGCUAGAGAUCAAUAGUGAAUGAAUUUUGACAUCAGUUUUGUUUUGUGUCAGCUUUUCAGAACAACUGUUUCUUUCUCUUUUCAAAUUGAAAUGAUGUUGUCUUAUAGUAAGUUCAGUUAAACAUGUGGGUCAAAAUCACUUUAUUCUCUGUAGUAGCUGACAAUAAACUUCAUGGAAAUCAUGGACCAAA